rnacentral:misc_RNA from 1 species
UUUUCAGUAAAAAAAAAUUCAAAAUCUGGGCUGCAAUGAAACGCUGUAUGAAGCCAUUUUCCUGUAUCUCGUUGUGUUGCAUCUUUUUGUUGAGUUCGAUAUACAUCGCUAAAGCUGAAGUUAUUACCCUCACAGGCGAUACGUUUAACGAUAAGAUAAGUGAGAAGGACACGGCAUGGUUUGUCAAAUUUUGUGUUCCAUGGUGUAAGCACUGCAAGAACCUGGGAACACUUUGGGAGGACCUGGGAAAAGCUGUAGA